rnacentral:rRNA from 1 species
GACAAACGCUGGCGGCGCGCCUAACACAUGCAAGUCGAACGAGAGAUGAGGAGCUUGCUCUUCAAAUCGAGUGGCGAACGGGUGAGUAACGCGUGAGGAACCUGCCUCAAAGAGGGGGACAACAGUUGGAAACGACUGCUAAUACCGCAUAAGCCCACGGCUCGGCAUCGAGCAGAGGGAAAAGGAGCGAUCCGCUUUGAGAUGGCCUCGCGUCCGAUUAGCUAGUUGGUGAGGUAACGGCCCACCAAGGCGACGAUCGGUAGCCGGACUGAGAGGUUGAACGGCCACAUUGGGACUGAGACACGGCCCAGACUCCUACGGGAGGCAGCAGUGGGGAAUAUUGCACAAUGGGGGAAACCCUGAUGCAGCGACGCCGCGUGGAGGAAGAAGGUCUUCGGAUUGUAAACUCCUGUUGUUGAGGAAGAUAAUGACGGUACUCAACAAGGAAGUGACGGCUAACUACGUG